CCUGGCCCCCAUCACGCUUCCCAAGGAGACCGGUGGCUACUGAGAAGAAUGACUUCAUACAAGGCUCUGCGUUUGGCCGUCUUUGCUCUUCUUGUGCUGCAUGCCAUAAACAUGUGCGUCUGUAGAUCGGCUGUGCAAUCUAGAGAAGAUGACAACCUUCAACUGAAGGAGUGUCCAGAGACAUGUGAAGCGUCAAAGAACGGCACAUGUGCAGGCGACUGCAUCUGCGUAUGGGUGCCGGGUGCUGAAAGAGGCAAAUGCUUGGAUUUCGGCGACACUGUAUUAUAGCGUCCCAGUUUUGCCCACUACGAAGCCAUAGAAGAGAAAUGCCUUCGCACUUCAUGGUAAAAGAAUAUUAUAAUUGGAUUUGCCAGCAGCAGAAUGAGUUUACGAAUAAAUACUUUG